rfam:Triticum aestivum genome assembly, contig: Triticum_aestivum_CS42_TGACv1_scaffold_093045_2AL
CUUGUAUCUUCGUCCCAAAUUUUUUGGCUCAGAUUGUCUAGAUACGGAUGUAUCUAACACUAAAACGUAACUAGAUACAUCCGUAUUUAGACAAAUCUAAGACAAGAAUUUUAGGACGGAGGGAGUACUUA